rnacentral:tRNA from 1 species
UCCCUGCUGGCUCAGAGGGUAAAGUGUCUGCCUACAAUGCAGGAGACCCAGGUUCGAUCCCUGGGUCGGGAA